rnacentral:ncRNA from 2 species
UUUUCGUACUCUGGAGAGCGGCAGUAGCCACGUGCGCGAGCAUCGGCAGGCUGCCCACCGAAGGGGCGCGCACCGGCCAGUCAACGGCAGUGCAAUCUCUCAGGUAUCGAGGACAGAGGGGCUGGC